rnacentral:tRNA from 1 species
GCCCCUGUGGCCAAGUGGAUAAGGCACGGGCCUCCGGAGCCCGGAUCGCAGGUUCGAAUCCUGCCAGGGGUACCA